rnacentral:rRNA from 1 species
GGGGGAGUAAUUCCUCCGUGCUGAAGCUAACGCGAUAAGUGGGCCGCCUGGGGAGUAUGCCCGCAAGGGUGAAACUCAAAGGAAUUGACGGGACCCCGCACAAGCGGUGGAGCGUGUGGUUUAAUUGGACGNUAAGCCAAGAACCUUACCAGGGCUUGACAUGCUGGUGGUACUGACCCGAAAGGGGAGGGACCUGUGGCGUUAGUCACGGGAGCCAGCACAGGUGGUGCACGGUCGUCGUCAGCUCGUGCCGUGAGGUGUUGGGUUAAGUCCCGCAACGAGCGCAACCCCUGCCCUUAGUUGCCAGCGGUUCGGCCGGGCACUCUAAGGGGACUGCCGGCGACGAGCCGGAGGAAGGAGGGGAUGACGUCAGAUACUCGUGCCCCUUAUGCCCUGGGCGACACACGCGCUACAAUGGGUGGGACAGCGGGAAGCGAGCCAGCGAUGGUGAGCGAAGCCCUUAAACCCACCCUCAGUUCGGAUUGCAGGCUGAAACCCGCCUGCAUGAAGCCGGAAUCGCUAGUAAUCGCGGAUCAGCCACGCCGCGGUGAAUACGUUCCCGGGGUUUGUACACACCGCCCGUCACGCCACCCGAGUUGGCAGCGCCCGAAGAUGGGUACUCCAACCGAGAGGGGGAGGCCUAUUGAGGGCGAGGCUGGCGAGGGGGGCGAAGUCGUAACAAGGUAGCCGU